AACCAAUUUGGUCCUGGUUCUUCGAAUCAGCUGCCCCCAGGACGAUACAUGCAAACUAAUAGUGAAACGGUGAGGAAAAAAGCGAGGACCUUAAAACGAGAAGCUUUAACAGACAUCAGGACACACUCCACCAAUCCCCGUGUACUCCCAAGACGUCGAGGAACCCUUCUUGCCCCACAACUGCAGUACCUAACCUUAUACAAUAGGCAAUAGCCUGAUAUAGCCACGGGGGCCCAGAGCCGGUAAAUCAUGUGCCAGCCACCGCGGUUAUACAUGAGACACGAGUUGAAACACUUCGGCAAAAAGGUGAUAAUUUCUCAACGGGGUUGACGCUCUCUCAAGCAGUAACAAGCUAACAGACCCCUAAACACAACACCCUAACCCCGAAAUACCCGCGCCUAAAAAAAUCAUCAAAGCUCAAAGAUAAACUGGGAUUAGAUACCCCACUAUAUGAGCCGUAAAACACCCCAAACGCCAGAGUACUACAAACCAAAGUUUAAAACUCAAAGGACUUGGCGGUUUUCUAGACCUCCCUGGAGGAGCUUGCCAUCAAACCGACAACCCACGUCAAACCUCACCAACCUUUGAAAACCCAGCCUGUAUACCAUCGUCGUCAGUCUACCCCAUGAGGGAAGUAUACAUAAUGGAGAACUAUCCUCCACUACGUCAGAUCGAGGUGCAGCUAAUAGGUUGGGGAUGAGUGAGCUACUAUAAUUAAACCACAAACAACCCAAAUAUGGACGGCCCCCUGAAAAGGGGGCCUAAAAUAGGAUUCAGUAGUAACAUUUAACAGAAAAUAAAUGUAAAACCCCCACCCAGCUCUAGAAUUCGCACACAUCGCCCGUCACUCUCGUCCACAGAGGAGAAAAGUCGUAACAAAGUAGGCGUAUUGGAAAAUGCGCCUGGAACAAC
rnacentral:ncRNA from 1 species